rnacentral:lncRNA from 1 species
AUAGAAGAGCAGUCCGUCACACUUGCCCUUGCAGCAGUUUGUUGCCAUCGACUACACCCGCAUUGUCUUGCAUGUUGAUUUUCCCCGCGCAUAAGGCAAAUAGCAAGGCUAUCAUGCCAAAAUUCUCGCCACUGCCGUGCCGCUUGCUGAUCAACUUUGUCAAGGGUCUAACACUAAGCAACAAUAGCCAAAAAAGAGAAAGUAACUUUUCCAA